GAUGAACGCUGGCGGCGUGCUUAACACAUGCAAGUCGAACGAUGAAGCCCAGCUUGCUGGGUGGAUUAGUGGCGAACGGGUGAGUAACACGUGAGUAACCUGCCCUUAACUCUGGGAUAAGCCUGGGAAACUGGGUCUAAUACCGGAUAGGAGCGUCCACCGCAUGGUGGGUGUUGGAAAGAUUUAUCGGUUUUGGAUGGACUCGCGGCCUAUCAGCUUGUUGGUGAGGUAAUGGCUCACCAAGGCGACGACGGGUAGCCGGCCUGAGAGGGUGACCGGCCACACGGGGACGGAGACACGGCCCAGACUCCUACGGGAGGCAGCAGUGGGGAAUAUUGCACAAGGGGCGCAAGCCUGAUGCAGCGACCCCGGGGGGGGGAGGACGGCCUUGGGGUUGUAAACCCUUUUCAGUAGGGAAGAAGCGAAAGUGACGGUACCUGCAGAAGAAGCACCGGCUAACUACGU
rnacentral:rRNA from 1 species